AUCCAGCUGAUGAGUCCCAAAUAGGACGAAACUCACAUCCUAGAU
rfam:Schistosoma margrebowiei strain Zambia genome assembly, scaffold: SMRZ_scaffold0002462